GAUGAACGCUGGCGGCGUGCCUAAUACAUGCCAGUCGAGCGAACAGAUGAGGAGCUUGCUCCUCUGACGUUAGCGGCGGACGGGUGAGUAACACGUGGAUAACCUACCUAUAAGACUGGGAUAACUUCGGGAAACCGGAGCUAAUAUCGGAUAAUAUAUUGAACCGCAUGGUUCAAUAGUGAAAGACGGUUUUGCUGUCACUUAUAGAUGGAUCCGCGCCGCAUUAGCUAGUUGGUAAGGUAACGGCUUACCAAGGCAACGAUGCGUAGCCGACCUGAGAGGGUGAUCGGCCACACUGGAACUGAGACACGGUCCAGACUCCUACGGGAGGCAGCAGUAGGGAAUCUUCCGCAAUGGGCGAAAGCCUGACGGAGCAACGCCGCGUGAGUGAUGAAGGUCUUCGGAUCGUAAAACUCUGUUAUUAGGGAAGAACAAAUGUGUAAGUAACUAUGCACGUCUUGACGGUACCUAAUCAGAAAGCCACGGCUAACUACGUG
rnacentral:rRNA from 1 species